CGUAGGGUGCGAGCGUUAAUCGGAAUUACUGGGCGUAAAGCGUGCGCAGGCGGUUUUGUAAGUCAGAUGUGAAAUCCCCGAGCUCAACUUGGGAACUGCGUUUGAACUACAAGACUAGAAUAUGUCAGAGGGGGGUAGAAUUCCACGUGUAGCAGUGAAAUGCGUAGAGAUGUGGAGGAAUACCAAUGGCGAAGGCAGCCCCCUGGGAUAAUAUUGACGCUCAUGCACGAAAGCGUGGGGAGCAAACAGGAUUAGAUACCCUGGUAGUCCACGCCCUAAACGAUGUCUACUAGUUGUUGGUGGAGUAAAAUCCAUGAGUAACGCAGCUAAACGCGUGAAGUAGACCGCCUGGGGAGUACGGUCGCAAGAUUA
rnacentral:rRNA from 1 species